rnacentral:rRNA from 1 species
GAUGAACGCUGGCGGCGUGCCUAAUACAUGCAAGUCGAGCGAACAGACGAGGAGCUUGCUCCUCUGACGUUAGCGGCGGACGGGCGAGUAACACGUGGAUAACCUACCUAUAAGACUGGGAUAACUUCGGGAAACCGGAGCUAAUACCGGAUAAUAUAUUGAACCGCAUGGUUCAAUAGUGAAAGACGGUUUUGCUGUCACUUAUAGAUGGAUCCGCGCCGCAUUAGCUAGUUGGUAAGGUAACGGCUUACCAAGGCAACGAUGCGUAGCCGACCUGAGAGGGGGAUCGGCCACACUGGAAAUGAGACACGGUCCAAGCCCCGACGGGAGGCAGCAGUAGGGAAUCUUCCGCAAGGGGCGAAAGCCUGACGGAGCAACGCCGCGUGAGUGAUGAAGGUCUUCGGAUCGUAAAACUCUGUUAUUAGGGAAGAACAAAUGUGUAAGUAACUAUGCACGCUUUGACGGUACCUAAUCAGAAAGCCACGGCUAACUACGU